CCGGUUGAUCCUGCCGGACCCGACUGCUAUCGGAUAGAGAUUAAGCCAUGCGAGUCGAACAUUUCUUAACUAUGUAAGAAGUGUGGCAUACGGCUCAGUAACAC
rnacentral:rRNA from 1 species